rnacentral:rRNA from 1 species
GUGUCAGCAGCCGCGGUAAGACAGAGGUGCCAAGCGUUAGGCGGAAUCACUGGGCUUAAAGCGUGUGUAGGCGGACUUGUAAGUACCUUGUGAAAUCCCACGGCUCACCCGUGGAACUGCUGGGUAUACUGCGAGUCUUGAGCCACUUAGGGGCUGUCGGAACAGGCGGUGGAGCGGUGAAAUGCGUAGAUAUCGCCUGGAACGCCAAAGGUGAAAACAGACAGCUGGGAGUGUGCUGACGCUGAGACACGAAAGCCAGGGGAGCGAACGGGAUUAGAUACCCUGGUAGUCC